CUGAUCUUCUCUCACCUGAUGUGAGAUGCCCAGGGAAACAGAGCAGUAAUCCUAUGCAGUUUCCACAGAAGUGAAAAAGAAGCAAUUAUUUGUAUCUUUCUGAAGCAUUUUCACAAGUGCCUGCAUACGUUCAUAUACUUCUGGCUGUCAAAUUUGGGGGCUUUGAUAUCAUUUUACUUUCAUCGUUAUUUUGGAAUGUAGAGAAGAUAAUAAUUAUCCAAGUGCCAUGUAGUGAGUGUUAAGGGAGAUCAUGAAUGGCCUUUGAAACACCUUGAAGUGAGGUGUCUACCUCCCAUUUGUAUCUCUGAAAAGUUUCCAUACUUUUUUUAAAGUUCACUGGUUUUUAUAACUGUUACUUAUCUUCGAAUAACAAGAAGAGACUUUCACCAGCAGAAACACUCGAAAAAUGUAAAUCAAGGAUAGUGUGUUUGCUCCAAUCACAGAUGAGGGACGUAUCUGGUUGCACCCAGCAGGUCUGGAACACAGACACACUUAGCUGAGCUGAAGCAGCACUGUUUUUCAGUUGUUUCUUGGCUUUGUGAAGAGGAAGGGGGUGUUGUGUCGAUACCGCAUCAUAACACAGUUUUAAACUCCCAGUGAUACAGACUUAAAUCUCAGGGUCACUGCUGCUAUAAUGCAUUUGCUUAAUAACUACAGCUGAGUACAGUUUCCAGAUCUUGCAGGUCGCACUGGUAUGGUGAUGUACCAGAGGGUCGAUGUGACUGAAAGAUGUAGAAAGUGGCUGUGGUGUGUAGAUUCUGAUGAUGUGUUCGUAGUCACGAAGUUAUUUCAGGGAAUGGAACCACGCUUCAAACGUACGUCCUCCAGAAUGUUCUGAUUUAUUAUUCACUCAGAAUAAUUUAAGUGUAGGAAUCAGACCCUGGUAAACUAGGGAGUGUCUGCAAGCAAAGUGAAGAUGUGAUUGUGCCAUCUGUAGCCCUGUAGCUUAAAUUUAGUUAGUCUGCUCGCAGCACAAGGGAAGGUACAGCUUCAUGUCAGUUCUCACUCUAUACCCAAUUCUCAGUGCUUUUGCUCAGCUGGUACCUUUCUGUGCAAAAAUUGUGCUUUUGCUUUUCUUUAGAUAUGCCUUUAACUACCCGCUGCUCAGAAGGGCAUGAGAAAGCUUUAACGGCCUUGCAGUUUGAAGGACCUACUGCUAAAGGCAACUCUUGUUACAGAUAAGUAAUAAAUUACUGUGAACUUGUCAUAACAGUUUAGUCACUUGCCCUCCUUUUUCUGCUCAGUGCACGCACUACUGUGUGUUUUAUCUUUCCAGGCCAUUUAUCUAAGAUGUUAGUGUAACUAACAUUGCUGCUGUACAUGAUGUAGGAAAUAAUUACAGGAGACAAAAGCUCCAGGAAUUCAUAGCAGCUUUUCUUCCUUCUUGCUGUGUAGCGAAUGCUUGAACUGGGUUGGCUGCCCUCUGAUCUCCUGUGGGUUCAAGAAACAGCUCGUCAUUCUAUUUCCAGUUUUGCUUUCUACUGUUUUAAAGUAGUAUGCAGCUGCAGG
rnacentral:lncRNA from 1 species